GACUGUCGAAAUAUACCCAGGCAUCACAGUGCAGCAUAUUAUAAUAUGCUUGUUCUUAGGCUUAAGCAAAGCGAUAUCCCGAAGGACUCUGCUGAGGGUUGAAGUAUCAUAGGCCUCUUCACCGACCCCUGUAGGCGUGGCCACCAAGAUGAAUAUCACACCUGCGUGCUCAACUACUUCUUUCAGAUUCAGGGUGGCGCGCAAUUUAGUUGAUGCACGCAAUGCCUCCUCGACCCCAGGCUCUGAGCUUUUGAGAGUCUUUGAGUUU
rnacentral:lncRNA from 1 species